rnacentral:rRNA from 1 species
CGUGUAGGCGGUCUACCAAGUUGGGUGUGAAAGCCCUCGGCUUAACCGAGGAAGUGCGCCCAAAACUAGCAGACUCGAGUACCGGAGAGGGUGGCGGAAUUCCCGGUGUAGAGGUGAAAUUCGUAGAUAUCGGGAGGAACACCAGCGGCGAAGGCGGCCACCUGGACGGAUACUGACGCUGAGACGCGAAAGCGUGGGGAGCAAACA